rnacentral:rRNA from 1 species
GCAGCAGCCGCGGGAAUACGGAGGGUGCAAGCGUUAAUCGGAAUUACUGGGCGUAAAGCGCACGCAGGCGGUCUGACAAGUCAGAUGUGAAAUCCCCGGGCUUAACCUGGGAACUGCAUUUGAAACUGUCAGGCUGGAGUCUUGUAGAGGGGGGUGGAAUUCCAGGUGUAGCGGUGAAAUGCGUAGAGAUCUGGAGGAAUACCGGUGGCGAAGGCGGCCCCCUGGACAAAGACUGACGCUCAGGUGCGAAAGCGUGGGGAGCAAACAGGAUUAGAUACCCCAGUAGUCCCUGUCUCUUAUAU